rnacentral:rRNA from 1 species
GAUGAACGCUAGCGGCAGGCUUAACACAUGCAAGUCGAGGGGUAGAAGUCUUCGGACUUUGAGACCGGCGCACGGGUGCGUAACGCGUAUGCAAUCUGCCUUGUACAAAGGGAUAGCCCAGAGAAAUUUGGAUUAAUACCUUAUAGUAUAUAGAUGUGGCAUCACAAUUAUAUUAAAGAUUUAUCGGUACAAGAUGAGCAUGCGUCCCAUUAGCUAGUUGGUAUGGUAACGGCAUACCAAGGCAGUGAAGGGUAGGGGUCCUGAGAGGGAGAUCCCCCACACUGGUACUGAGACACGGACCAGACUCCUACGGGAGGCAGCAGUGAGGAAUAUUGGUCAAUGGGCGCAAGCCUGAACCAGCCAUGCCGCGUGCAGGAUGAAGCAUCUAUGGUGUGUAAACUGCUUUUGUACGGGAAGAAGCACCUCUUCGUGAAGAGGCUUGACGGUACCGUAAGAAUAAGGAUCGGCUAACUCCGUGCCAGCAGCCGCCGUAA